GGGCUAUCUGCAGUGAACGCUGAAGAGAGGAGCUUGCUCUUCUUGGAUGAGUUGCGAACGGGUGAGUAACGCGUAGGUAACCUGCCUUGUAGCGGGGGAUAACUAUUGGAAACGAUAGCUAAUACCGCAUAACAAUGGAUGACACAUGUCAUUUAUUUGAAAGGGGCAAUUGCUCCACUACAAGAUGGACCUGCGUUGUAUUAGCUAGUAGGUGAGGUAACGGCUCACCUAGGCGACGAUACAUAGCCGACCUGAGAGGGUGAUCGGCCACACUGGGACUGAGACACGGCCCAGACUCCUACGGGAGGCAGCAGUAGGGAAUCUUCGGCAAUGGGGGCAACCCUGACCGAGCAACGCCGCGUGAGUGAAGAAGGUUUUCGGAUCGUAAAGCUCUGUUGUAAGUCAAGAACGAGUGUGAGAGUGGAAAGUUCACACUGUGACGGUAGCUUACCANAAAGGGACGGCUAACUACGUGCCAGCAGCCGCGGUAAUACGUANGUCCCGAGCGUUGUCCGGAUUUAUUGGGCGUAAAGCGAGCGCAGGCGGUUUGAUAAGUCUGAAGUUAAAGGCUGUGGCUCAACCAUAGUUCGCUUUGGAAACUGUCAAACUUGAGUGCAGAAGGGGAGAGUGGAAUUCCAUGUGUAGCGGUGAAAUGCGUAGAUAUAUGGAGGAACACCGGUGGCGAAAGCGGCUCUCUGGUCUGUAACUGACGCUGAGGCUCGAAAGCGUGGGGAGCGAACAGGAUUAGAUACCCUGGUAGUCCACGCCGUAAACGAUGAGUGCUAGGUGUUGGAUCCUUUCCGGGAUUCAGUGCCGCAGCUAACGCAUUAAGCACUCCGCCUGGGGAGUACGACCGCAAGGUUGAAACUCAAAGGAAUUGACGGGGGCCCGCACAAGCGGUGGAGCAUGUGGUUUAAUUCGAAGCAACGCGAAGAACCUUACCAGGUCUUGACAUCCCGAUGCUAUUUCUAGAGAUAGAAAGUUACUUCGGUACAUCGGUGACAGGUGGUGCAUGGUUGUCGUCAGCUCGUGUCGUGAGAUGUUGGGUUAAGUCCCGCAACGAGCGCAACCCCUAUUGUUAGUUGCCAUCAUUCAGUUGGGCACUCUAGCGAGACUGCCGGUAAUAAACCGGAGGAAGGUGGGGAUGACGUCAAAUCAUCAUGCCCCUUAUGACCUGGGCUACACACGUGCUACAAUGGUUGGUACAACGAGUUGCGAGUCGGUGACGGCAAGCUAAUCUCUUAAAGCCAAUCUCAGUUCGGAUUGUAGGCUGCAACUCGCCUACAUGAAGUCGGAAUCGCUAGUAAUCGCGGAUCAGCACGCCGCGGUGAAUACGUUCCCGGGCCUUGUACACACCGCCCGUCACACCACGAGAGUUUGUAACACCCGAAGUCGGUGAGGUAACCUUUGGAGCCAGCCGCCUAAGUGA
rnacentral:rRNA from 1 species